GUUUGCACUUGUCGGGGAAGGGUGAGAAACUUCGAUUAAGGUUCGACUCGAGCGAAAGCGAGAGAACGUUGCCAACGGCAACGGCCCGAAGGGUGAGGAGCGAAGCGACGAAUAAUCCUUCCCCCACCACCA
rnacentral:sRNA from 2 species